GAGAUGGGCGGGCCGAAGGUCCAGGCUUAUCGACUCCGGAUCGAGAGGUCGCGGGUUCGAAUCCCGCCCGUUCCC
rnacentral:tRNA from 1 species